GAUGAACGCUGGCGGCGUGCCUAAUACAUGCAAGUCGAGCGAACAGACGAGGAGCUUGCUCCUCUGACGUUAGCGGCGGACGGGUGAGUAACACGUGGAUAACCUACCUAUAAGACUGGGAUAACUUCGGGAAACCGGAGCUAAUACCGGAUAAUAUAUUGAACCGCAUGGUUCAAUAGUGAAAGACGGUUUUGCUGUCACUUAUAGAUGGAUCCGCGCCGCAUUAGUUAGUUGGUAAGGUAACGGCUUACCAAGGCAACGAUGCGUAGCCGACCUGAGAGGGUGAUCGGCCACACUGGAACUGAGACACGGUCCAGACUCCGACGGGAGGCAGCAGUAGGGAAUCUUCCGCAAUGGGCGAAAGCCUGACGGAGCAACGCCGCGUGAGUGAUGAAGGUCUUCGGAUCGUAAAACGCUGUUAUUAGGGAAGAACAAAUGUGUAAGUAACUAUGCACGUCUUGACGGUACCUAAUCAGAAAGCCACGGCUAACUACGUG
rnacentral:rRNA from 1 species